AGCAGCCGCGGUAAUUCCAGCUCCAAUAGCGUAUAUUAAAGUUGCUGCAGUUAAAAAGCUCGUAGUUGAAUUUCGGGACCAUCAUGUCGGUCGUGCCUCGGUACGUACUGGCAUUGUUGGUUUCUACCUUCUGACGAACCAUGAUGUCAUUUAUUGGUGUUAUGGGGAUUAGGACUGUUACUUUGAAAAAAUUAGAGUGUUUAAAGCAGGCUUUAGCUUGAAUACAUUAGCAUGGAAUAAUGAAAUAGGACGUUCGAACCUAUUUUGUUGGUUCCUUAGGAUCAACGUAAUGAUUAAUAGGGAUAGUUGGGGGCAUUAGUAUUCAAUUGUCAGAGGUGAAAUUCUUGGAUUUAUUGAAGACUAACUACUG
rnacentral:rRNA from 1 species